rnacentral:rRNA from 1 species
AGUGAACGCUGGCGGCGUGCUUAACACAUGCAAGUCGAACGAGAACGGAAUAUAGCUUGCUAUAUUUGUCAGCUAAGUGGCGCACGGGUGAGUAAUGUAUAGAUAACCUGCCCUUAAGAAAGGAAUAACAGUUGGAAACGACUGCUAAUGCCCUAUAUGCCUUUAAUACAUAAGUAUGCAAGGGAAACGCUUUAGUGCUUAAGGAUGGGUCUGUAUGAUAUCAGCUUGUUGGUGAGGUAAUGGCUCACCAAGGCUAUGACGCCUAACUGGUUUGAGAGGAUGGUCAGUCACACUGGAACUGAGACACGGUCCAGACUCCUACGGGAUGCAGCAGUGGGGAAUAUUGCACAAUGGACGAAAGUCUGAUGCAGCAACGCCGCGUGGAGGAUGACACAUUUCGGUGCGUAAACUCCUUUUAUAUAGGAAGAUAAUGACGGUACUAUAUGAAUAAGCACCGGCUAACUCCGUGCCAGCAGCCGCCGUAA